UUUCUUGCAUUGUUGAACAUAAAGUUGACUUAUACGUUAUCUUGUCUGGCAUAUGGAUCGUUUUAAGCAUUUCAAAAUUUUUUAUGUUCGUUGUGCUGAGUACAAACUGCACCAGAAUGGCCAAUGAAAUAAGCUCACGUCUAAAAAGUUCGAUAGUGUUCAUAAAAAGUUGCAAAGUUAAGAAAGAGUUUCAUCUACUGGCCUUACAAAUGUGUCACGAAAAAGUGAAAAUAACUCCUUGUGGAUUUUUUGAUGUUAAUCCACCUUUGUUAUUUAUGAUUAUUUCGUCUGUUGCGACAUAUAUGGUACUAUUGAUACAGGUGCAUAAAGAUAUUUUAAAAUAACAAAACCGUGUAAGAUAUAGGGUGUGCAGGCGUUCGGUUUUCCUGUUUUUGUAUUAAUUAAUCUGUAGUUUUAUGUGUUCAAUUUGAAACAGUACUGCUAUAUGUUCAGAAAUGAAAUUGGACAAAAACAUUUGGAGAACUCGAUUUAAAUAAUUGCUACAAGGGCUACAUUCAAAAUUGUCGGUUUAUGAUGUCAACAAUUUUUAAGUGAAAACCCUACUUUUUAAUUUACAUAUUUUAAAAAAGUAAGAAACCAAUAAUAACUCAUUCCUUUGCCCAUAAUUUAUGACAGCAACAUAAAAUUUAGUUUAGAAAAACUAAAGUGACACUAUUGUAAAAACGAGUAUCGACGAUGAUUUCUAGAAAUCGUAUGAUAUGGACGAAUAUUUUUCAUAUAUUUUUAUAGUAUUCAUAAUAUUUAAUAAAAAAUUAAAGCAUCACUUAAAAAAAUAUUUAUAACAGCAUAAUUUCGACGUUAUCAAAAAGAGAGUGGCGAAAUGUUUUUGUUAAAUGUCAUUCCUGAUUUGUUCUUUCCAAUUUAUAUAGAAG